rnacentral:rRNA from 1 species
ACGGGUGAGUAACACGUGAGCAACCUGCCCCUGACUCUGGGAUAAGCGCUGGAAACGGCGUCUAAUACUGGAUACGAGUAGCGAUCGCAUGGUCAGCUACUGGAAAGAUUUUUUGGUUGGGGAUGGGCUCGCGGCCUAUCAGCUUGUUGGUGAGGUAAUGGCUCACCAAGGCGUCGACGGGUAGCCGGCCUGAGAGGGUGACCGGCCACACUGGGACUGAGACACGGCCCAGACUCCUACGGGAGGCAGCAGUGGGGAAUAUUGCACAAUGGGCGGAAGCCUGAUGCAGCAACGCCGCGUGAGGGAUGACGGCCUUCGGGUUGUAAACCUCUUUUAGCAGGGAAGAAGCGAAAGUGACGGUACCUGCAGAAAAAGCGCCGGCUAACUACGUGCCAGCAGCCGCGGUAAUACGUAGGGCGCAAGCGUUAUCCGGAAUUAUUGGGCGUAAAGAGCUCGUAGGCGGUUUGUCGCGUCUGCUGUGAAAUCCCGAGGCUCAACCUCGGGCCUGCAGUGGGUACGGGCAGACUAGAGUGCGGUAGGGGAGAUUGGAAUUCCUGGUGUAGCGGUGGAAUGCGCAGA